CUCAUGUUGCAGUUACAGAUUUUUUCAUCUCUGUGCCCAUCCACGUUCUAAACCGCUACAACAAUAAUGACUUUAUGCCUUUCAUAUUUAUGAAUCACUUUCAUUCUUCAUCUUUACAGUUUCCUCACCAUUAUCGCUUUCAUUUUUAUACAUCAUUUGCAUAGAAUCAUGGAGGAGCAAGUAUCACGUUCCUCUUUGCUUUCUGCUCCCGCUCCUUCACCUUCAGAGAACCUCAAUUCAAAUCCUUCUGAUGCAGUUAUUUUCUUCGGUCACAGUCUUGCUCUUGGAAUCGGUUGCAUACACCUUUUGCGCGGGACCAGAGUUCCUUACACUAUUGCUUUGCUCAUCCUUGGCAUUGCUCUUGGAUCAUUAGAAUAUGGUACUCAUCAUCGGCUCGGAAAAAUUGGGGAUGGAAUUCGUCUCUGUAAGUUUUCAUUUUUAUAUCUUAUUAACCACUAACCAUUUACCAUUAUUUGUCAAAUAUCCACUUCAAUUAAUUUGCUUUGGCCUCCUUCAAAGUUAACUUCUGCAGAAGCUGUUCUGCACUCAAUGGAAACUAUGUUCUGGAUUGUUAAGACUGCUUCAAAACAACUUAUAGAACAUUUUUUUAUGGGUCGUUUUGAUGAUAUGGUAGAAUUGGUGGCUAAGGCGAAAUAUGCUGAAUGGAAGAUGUCGCCAAUUAUUUUCGCUCGUGGAAAGUGGUAGAUUUAUCACAGCACCUGUAGUUAUUGAUGAUACAAGUAAUUCAAUGGAUGUUAACUCUACACCAAAUAGAUUUGUGAAUAUAUAUCUCUUAUUGAAUGUUUUCACAUGUAGAAAAGUAAGAUUCUAUCAUCAUAAAAUGAUUCAUAUUUCAGGUAUUGACGUGAUUCAAACUGAUAGGACAUUGGUUUUUUAUGAGAAGAGAGAGAUUUUAUCGAAAUUAUGGGAUAUUCUCGCUGUUUAUGCUUUGAUAGAUACAGAUGUUGGCUAUGGUCAAGGUUGGUCAUUAGAUAUGUGAUCGGUAUGAAUCUAUAAUGUAACCAUAAUUUCGAACUAAUGUAAAUUUCGAUAUGAAUCUUUAUAUAACUGACAGAAAUGAGUGACCUAUGCUCUCCUAUGAUAAUACUUCCUUGCGAACUUAUAAUCACAUGACAGGGAGUUCAGACUGUUUUUGAUACGGAGACGACAUGUUUCGGCAUAGCAGCAUUAUGAAGGUCUGCCUUAUAGCGAAAAAGUGGAUGAUUCAAUCAACAAUUAUUCUUGAUACUGGCCACACAUUGGUUCGUCGGACCAUGAAGAAGAAUAAGAUGAAACCGGAUUGUAAGGUGAAGUGGAUGCGAGCAACAGUAGCCAAGCUCAUUGUGUUUGUGUCAGAUGUUAAAGCUAAGUUUGUAGCCUAGAUAAUUAUCCCAACUUGAGAUUUUCCAACAUGGGUAACAAGAAAAAUUGAAGUUUUAUUCUGCACAAAAAUUACAUAAGACGCACAGGAGCCAAGCAAAUGCCAAUAUUAAAGUGGAGACGAAAUUGAAGUGUCACCGAAAAGUUCCUCCUCUCCAAUCUCAAUAGAAGAUCGUUAUAGGAAGAUCCUGGGAAUGACAAUUUCAGGGAUGGAUGAUGGCUUUGUCGUCUCCCUAAGGUCCCUUGUCAUCCAAAACUACGGAAACAUUGCACCAUUAUUGUAUGCUCGACAUCUUCAUUUUUAGAGAAUGCUCAAGGUAAUUUAAGACCGGGUUAGGAUUUCAACUACUGAAAAUGGCAUUGCAGUUCUCACUGCGCAGGUAUUUUGAUCGUCCACUUUGACCAUUUUUCGAGUUAAAAUCUUGUGGCAACUACCUUACACUUAUGCCUGGCAGUUUAGUAUGUCGAAACUCAAAUGCUGUCUGCAAUAUGGUCAAUUUGAACAUGUCCAUGUGUUCAAAAUCAGCAAAAUACUCAUGUGAUAUUUCGACUUUAUGUCCAUAUUUCAGAAUUUCACCAUGAGUGUUUGAUGAAAUAACCCCUAAAAGGAAAUAGGAGUUAAUCAACACCAACAAAUUCCUGUAAUUGAUAAACAAGAUGUACCUUUUUCUUUUCAUUGCAGGAAGCUCACACUAAAACAGAUUAAAGUUGAUUGAGAAGGCUGGGUUCGGUUAUUGUAGUUCCUGAUAUGAGUCUUAACAAUGCACUGGUAGCAGCUUCCUGAUAUGGUUUUUAAUUCCAUUAGCUUAAUUUGUAAUCUAUCGAUGUGAUGCUUGGUUAGUCGAUUUCGAUCGAGUUCACUGCGUCAGUCUGGUUCGAAAUCAAUUAGUGGUGAUAUGUUUUGCAGCUGUCCCAUGCUCAUGCAGCACAAGGUUUUCAACCAAGAGAAAUGUUUUCGCUCUGCUAUUAAGGCCAUACAAAGAUCACAAUAUCAGAGCCUACUGGAAUUUCUACCAUUGGGGUAUCGGAUACGCAAUGAUAAUCAUCAACAUCUUUAUAGGGUUCGACGCAUUGGAGGUGUCCGCAGGGAACCGCUACGAUAACUGGAAGCAUGCAUACAGUGGCAUUAUUGAAGCUUCGGGUGGAAAUUUUUUGACAUCAAAGAUGAAAUCAGAUAUCCUCUACGGAGAAAUAUGCCUUUGCUUGCUUUAGUUUGUAAAUAUAGAAUUUGUUGUAUUUUAAAAAAAAUUGUCCUACGUGAUUCUGAUCUGCUCCAAACAUAUGUUUAUGCGAUGACAUGACAUUUUUUAAU